UUGUAUGUAGCAUCAAGGAGUGAAAUCUCAUUGCCAUAUUUGACCAUCAGACGUUGUUGCCACUGUUCCUGAUGAACAUAUAAAAGUUUCUGGCUUGGCUCUGCCGUUUCACUUUCUUCCUUCACUGUGCACAUGCCUGAGUAGAUAUGAUUGAUGAUGUCUGUGCUGGUUGGA